rnacentral:rRNA from 1 species
UACGUAGGAUGCGAGCGUUGUCCGGAUUUACUGGGCGUAAAGCGCGCGCAGGCGGCAUACCAAGUAUUCAGUGAAAUCUCCCUGCUCAACGGGGAGGGUGCUGAGUAGACUGGUAAGCUAGAGGACGGUAGAGGGGGGUAGAAUUGCUGGUGUAGCGGUGAAAUGCGUAGAGAUCAGCAGGAAUACCCGUGGCGAAGGCGGCCCCCUGGGCCGUUUCUGACGCUGAGGCGCGAAGGCUAGGGGAGCGAACGGG